rnacentral:rRNA from 1 species
GUGCCAGCAGCCGCGGUAAUACCAGCCCCGCGAGUGGUCGGGACUCUUGCUGGGCCUAAAGCGCCCGUAGCCGGCCCGGUAAGUCCCUCCUUAAAGCCCCGGGCUCAACCCGGGGAGCGGGGGGAUACUGCCGGGCUAGGGGGCGGGAGAGGCCGGGGGUACCCCAGGGGUAGGGGCGAAAUCCGAUAAUCCCUGGGGGACCACCAGUGGCGAAGGCGCCCGGCUGGAACGCGCCCGACGGUGAGGGGCGAAAGCCGGGGGAGCGAACCGGAUUAGAUACCCGGGUAGUCCCGGCUGUAAACUAUGCGGGCCAGGUGUCGGGCGGGCGUUAGAGCCCGCCCGGUGCCGCAGGGAAGCCGUUAAGCCCGCCGCCUGGGGAGUACGGCCGCAAGGCUGAAACUUAAAGGAAUUGGCGGGGGGGCACACAAGGGGUGGAGCCUGCGGCUCAAUUGGAGUCAACGCCGGGAACCUCUACCGGGGGCGACAGCAGGAUGACGGCCAGGCUAACGACCUUGCCCGACGCGCUGAGGGGAGGUGCAUGGCCGUCGCCAGCUCGUGCUGUGAAGUGUCCUGUUAAGUCAGGCAACGAGCGAGACCCCCGCCCCUAGUUGCGACCCUGCGGGCGACCGCGGGGGCACACUAGGGGGACUGCCGCCGCUAAGGCGGAGGAAGGAGGGGGCCACGGCAGGUCAGCAUGCCCCUAAACCCCCGGGCUGCACGCGGGCUACAAUGGCGGGGACAGCGGGAUCCGACCCCGAAAGGGGGAGGCAAUCCCUGAAACCCCGCCGUAGUUGGGAUCGGGGGCUGAAACUCGCCCCCGUGAACCUGGAAUCCCUAGUAACCGCGCGUCACCAUCGCGCGGUGAAUACGUCCCUGCCCCUUGUACACACCGCCCGUC